rnacentral:lncRNA from 1 species
CUGGGCUCGACCUCAAGAGUGAUGGGUUUGCCCUUCAGGGUCUUUACGAAGAUCAGCAUAUUGGCAUCUGCUUGGCCACCUCAUUGAAGAAAAAGUGUAGCCUCUUGAUUCUCAAUCAAAUUCUUGACCUUCCUAUCUUAGCCUCCAAAAUCCAAGGACUACAGGAGGCUGAAGCAGGAGGAUUGCUGUGAGUUCAAGGCUCAGCAUGGGUUGCAUAGUGAGUUGCAGACCAGCCUGAGGUACCAGAUUCUACUACUCCCAACAGUGCCUAACUGGAGGCCAGAAUUUGCCAACUGUGCCUUUUGGG